rnacentral:rRNA from 1 species
GACGAACGCUGGCGGCGUGCCUAGUACAUGCAAGUAGAACGCUGAAGGAGGAGCUUGCUCUUCUGGAUGAGUUGCGAACGGGUGAGUAACGCGUAGGUAACCUGCCUGGUAGCGGGGGAUAACUAUUGGAAACGAUAGCUAAUACCGCAUAAGAGUAGAUGUUGCAUGACAUUUACUUAAAAGGUGCAAUUGCAUCACUACCAGAUGGACCUGCGUUGGAUUAGCUAGUUGGUGGGGUAACGGCUUACCAAGGCGACGAUACAUCGCCGACCUGAGAGGGUGGUCGGCCACACUGGGACUGAGACACGGCCCAGACUCCUACGGGGAGCAGCAGUAGGGAAUCUUCGGCAAUGGGCGGAAAUCUUACCGAGCAACGCCGCGUGAGUGAAGAAGGUUUUCGGGUCGUAAAGCUCUGUUGUAAGGGAAGAACGAGUGUGAGAGUGGAAAGUGCACACUGUGACGGUAUCUUACCAGAAAGCGACGGCUAACUACGUG